AGUGAACGCUGGCGGUAGGCCUAACACAUGCAAGUCGAACGGCAGCACAGUAAGAGCUUGCUCUUACGGGUGGCGAGUGGCGGACGGGUGAGGAAUACAUCGGACUCUACUUUUUCGUGGGGGAUAACGUAGGGAAACUUACGCUCAUACCGCAUACGACCUACGGGUGAAAGCAGGGGAUCUUCGGACCUUGCGCGAUUGAAUGAGCCGAUGUCGGAUUAGCUAGUUGGCGGGGUAAAGGCCCACCAAGGCGGCGAUCCGUAGCUGGUCUGAGAGGAUGAUCGGCCACACUGGAAGUGGAACACGGUCCAGGCUCCUACGGGAGGCAGCAGUGGGGAAUGUUAGACAAUAGGCGCAAGCCUGAUCCAGCCAUACCGCGUGGGUGAAGGAGGCCUUCGGGUUGUAAAGCCCUUUUGUUGGGAAAGAAAAGCAUCAGGUUAAUACCCCGCUGUUCUGACGGUACCCAAAGAAUAAGCACCGGCUAACUUCGUG
rnacentral:rRNA from 1 species